GACGAACGCUGGCGGCGUGCCUAAUACAUGCAAGUAGAACGCUGAAGGAGGAGCUUGCUUCUCUGGAUGAGUUGCGAACGGGUGAGUAACGCGUAGGUAACCUGCCUGGUAGUGGGGGAUAACUUUUGGAAACGAUAGCUAAUACCGCAUAAUAGCAGUUGUUGCAUGAUAACUGUUUGAAAGUUGCAAUUGCACCGCUACCAGAUGGACCUGCGUUGUAUUAGCUAGUUGGUGGGGUAACGGCUCACCAAGGCGACGAUACAUAGCCGACCUGAGAGGGUGAGCGGCCACACUGAGACUGAGACACGGCCCAGACUCCUACAGGAGGCAGCAGUAGGGAAUCUUCGGCAAGGGACGGAAGUCUGAGCGAGCAACGCCGCGUGAGUGAAGAAGGUUUUCGGAUCGUAAAGCUCUGUUGUAAGAGAAGAACGAGUGUGAGAGUGGAAAGUUCACACUGUGACGGUAUCUUACCAGAAAGGGACGGCUAACUACGUG
rnacentral:rRNA from 1 species